AUUGAACGCUGGCGGCAGGCCUAACACAUGCAAGUCGAGCGAGCGGCGGACGGGUGAGUAAUGUCUGGGAAACUGCCUGAUGGAGGGGGAUAACUACACGAAACGGUAGCUAAUACCGCACACUAUGCGAUGUGCGCAGAUGGGAUUAGCUAGUAGGUGGGGUAACGGGUCACCUAGGCGACGAUCCCUAGCUGGUCUGAGAGGAUGACCAGCCACACUGGAACUGAGACACGGUCCAGACUCCUACGGGAGGCAGCAGUGGGGAAUAUUGCACAAUGGGCGCAAGCCUGAUGCAGCCAUGCCGCGUGUGUGGAGAAGGCCUUCGGGUUGUAAAGCACUUUCAGCGGGGAGGCGUUACCCGCAGAAGAAGCACCGGCUAACUCCGUGCCAGCAGCCGCGGUAAUUC
rnacentral:rRNA from 1 species